ensembl:snoRNA SNORD36 Small nucleolar RNA SNORD36
UUGCAAUGAUGUAUGAAUUUCUUCACCUGAAAUGCAAACUGAAGAGCAAACAAUGAGCUUUUUAACCCUGAGCUAU